UGUCCGACAUCGCGGAACCAUUGUGCGUUUUGUUCGCGAUCGGUUAAUUUGUGAUCAUUGUUCUUGAUUAAACAAAUAAACGCUCAAUUAAUUUAAAAGAGCUAAUAAAACAACAGGGAAAUUCCUUUCUUGGCGAAACCCGGCGAACCCAACACGUCGGAGAAAAGGCUGCGCCGUACCCUCGCGCCUUCAACGGACCCGCUGGAAGCUACCAACCGGCGGAGAAUCCGCCGCAAAGAAGCAGAAGGAGUCGGUGAGGAAAUUUGUGUCCUCAUCGCACUCCCCAGGUACCCUGUAUUGUAUAGUUUUGUCCAUGUGCACAUGUGAUGU